rnacentral:snoRNA from 1 species
AGACUUAAGAUGAGAUGUACUUACUGGGAGCAUAAUGAACUGAAGCUCAGUAUGAUUUCUCUGAAUUCC